GUUACAGUUGUAGUUCGGUAGUAUUUGUGCAGGCAAAUCUAGCAGAAAGUUCGCUUUCUUCUGUCAGAUCAACAAAGAAAAAAAUUGAAAGUGCGCAAAACAUCGAUUGCGAGUGAAUAUUUCUCUUCCAUUUAAAGAUGAAAAAUGUAUCCCAAGUAACACCGAAAACAUCAUUAUUAACGAAGAUCUAAUAAUAAUGUUGAAUAAAGGUCGGGAAAAUGAAAUACAAAACAUGUUAUGUUCAAGGAAAGCUAUGAUAAGGUUUUUGCAAAACAUACAGCAAUUUGAUCAGAGAAGAAGUUUCAUACUACAUUCUCACAACUUGCUGAUAACAUGUCGAUUUUUGACAUUUGUUUGGUUUUUUUAGAUGUUUCGUUUUACAUUCUCACAACAUAAAACAUGUCUACAGGAAGAUUUUACGAACAAGGUCAUAACAUGUUCAUUUUUUGACUUUUGUUUUGUCAGAAUAUAUACCAAAUUGAUAGGAGUUUAACGUAAAUUCAACAUCUUCAGAUCAAUGUUAUGAACGUUUUUCAUCGACCAUGUUGUUUAUCGACAUCUCGCCAUAUUGUUUUUCUUUUGCAGUUUCGAUAAUUUGUUUACAUAUCAUUUUCAAAAUUAUGCUUUGGCAUGGUUAUAUUUUUCUUCAAUCAAUGGCGCAUGAAUUAAGGAGAAGUAAAAUAAAAAGUUAGCCAAUGAAACAUGAGCCGCAUAUAAUGCUUCGACCGAGGCUUCGGAACAAAUUUGAUUUAUUUAUUCAGUUGUAUAUUUAUGUUUAUUAAUAUUAUAAAAAUGGUGUUCAUCAUUUCAUGCAUGCUUGUUUUCAUUCGUUUUUUGUAUAAAAUUUAUUUCUUUGACCAACACCAACACGGUCAGCAUUUUUGUUUUGGUAUCAAUUUGAGAGAGCCUUGUUGAAGGUCGGUUAUUGAAAACAUCCUUAGUACUGAGGUUUAGUUUUGUGAAUGUGCAAUCAAAAACAAGGUUGCGACUGAAAAAUGUUGAAAAUAUCGAUAAUUUUUGCGCUGUUUGGGUCGUGUAAAAGUAAUCAAAGCAGUUUUUCAUACCAAAACGUAACAUACUAUAUGUUCGAAAGAUGUAUUUUUUACACUCAUACAACAAACCGUGUUACUUGGGAUCGCUCACAAUUCGAACGGGUCAAGAGACCGGUGCCAAGAGAUGUGCCUUUACACAGUGUUCUACAUGUUCUUUUGUUUCAAACCGAGGUUAACAUGCAGCAACAACCGAUGAUUAUGAC